GAUUUCAUUGGUCUAGAAGCUCUGAGAUAGAGCAAGUCAAAAUCAUCUCUCUGCAUCUAGUGGCAUCCUGAACACAGAGAGGAGAGCUCUACUGUUUUGUGAACACAUCACAGCUGGGGGUCCUGUGCUUUUGCAUUCUUUCCAUGAGUCCAGUAUUACCUGAGAUAUUCUGCAACUUUGGAGCCAAUAACAGAAUCAUGAACUAAAUAAAUUGUUAGAGAAUGAGUUAGCAUUUUCAGCUCCACCCUCCACCCUGUUCUAUGGCCCUGGGCGUGACUUGCUCUUGCCCCUUGCCUUCUGUUUGGAUCCUGCCAAUGAGGACUCCUAGCAGGAGAUGGGGGCUCUCAUAUUUAACUGAAAGGCUCAGCUCCACGCAGCGUUUCUGUCUCCAGCCCACACAGCACGAUGAGAUAAAGACUAGAGGCUGCUCACUGCUGAGAGUGGACCAUCCAGCUCAUUUGGUCACAUAAUUUCCAGCCAGCCACCUUAUGGGCAAGAUUUUGGCUCACCUGUAAGCUAUUAGCUGGUAAGUGCUAACAUAAUCUACCUCCCAGCUGGUGAGUUGUCAAGGGAUAGAAAGAGCUAUGGAUAGAAGAGCUAAAAUCUGCUUGAAGUCACAGCACUGUUUGGGUCAUCUUUGCUGCAGCGCAACCUCUCUGAGCUUCAGUUACCUCACCUAGGUAAUGAUAAUAAUAUCUUCCUAUCUUGUAGACUACUGAGCAGUUUUUCAAACAUCAAUUAUUGCAUUGUAAAAACCUCAGUGACAGGAGUAUAUGGAAUCCUCAGGAUUGAUCACAGUGUUCUGCUUGAUGUUUGCACCUGGGAAAAUGCUUGUGGUUGAUUUUAACCACUCUGAAACAACAGCUCAGGGAAGGACAGCGCAGAAGAGGGAAAAUCUUGAUAGCUCCUUGCCAUUAACCACUUGCUUUCACUACCUAUUGAAAUCACCAGCUUUAAUCGCUUCCUGCAGCAAAUUCCUGGAGAGAAGAGACUAAAAAAAGUGAGAAAACGUGUCUAGAAGUGCCAUCUUGGAUGAUUUUAGGUUAUUAAAUAACAGCCUUACAGAGGGGUUGACUGUCAUGAUUUUAUUGCCGAUUCCAUCCUUGGUUAUAUUUCCCGAAGUUUUAAAAUCAUCUUUCCCCUGCAUUUGUAGAAUUAUCUGAAAUGGCUUGUUAAAAGUAUACAAUGACUAUUAAAGGAUGUCAUUUUAAAAGGCAAAUAGGUAUCUGUCUGGAUACUCAAAUGGUAUCUGCUUAAUGAUCUAAGAAAUUGCUAAGCUGUUUUUUUAAAGUGGCUGUAAUAUUUUGUACUCCUACUAGCAUAGAAUAAUUCCAGUUGCACCACAUCUCUACCAGCACUUGAUAUUGUCAGUCAUUUUAAUUUUAGCCACUCUAGCUG
ensembl:lncRNA novel transcript